CUUAGUCUGAGGCGGGGUAGCAGAGGGGGCUGCAAUGGCAGAGACUGUCCGCUGCAGGCUGGUUCGGCACUUGGAGCACCUGACCUCUGAGGAGCUGAAGAAAUUCAAGCUGUACCUGGUAGACUGUCUUCCCCGGGGUCGUCUGGAGGAGGCCAAUCGCACAAAAGUGGCUGAUCUCCUGGUCAGUUCUCUUGGGGAGCAACAAGCCUGGGAGCUGGCUCUGAGCAUCUGGGAGAGGAUGGGCCUGAGGGAACUGUUGGAGUGAGACGGAAAGGAAUUCAAAGGCAAGAACCAACUGGACAACAACAUGAAGCCAAGCUUCUACUCAUAUGGAGACAAGAGGGCCAUAGAUCCUGUCCUUUCCUCCACCUGGGCAAUGCAGAAGAUCUUCCCACUCCCUUGAGACCCAGAUCAAGUCCUACUUCCUUCAAGAAGUCUUCUGUAACCCAUCAGCCUGCAGAGAUCUCUCUCUCCUCCUGAAUUCCUGGUUCUCUACAUGCCUUUAGUAUAGGAGUGCCUAGCAUAUAGUCACUGCUUAAUAAAUGCUUGGUGAUUAAUUGA